UACGUAGGGUGCGAGCGUUAAUCGGAAUUACUGGGCGUAAAGCGUGCGCAGGCGGUUUUGUAAGCCAGAUGUGAAAGCCCCGGGCUCAACCUGGGAAUGGCGAUGGAUACUGGCUCGCUAGAGUGCGGUAGAGGAGAGUGGAAUUCCCGGUGUAGCAGUGAAAUGCGUAGAGAUCGGGAGGAACAUCAGUUGCGAAGGCGGCUCUCUGGACCAGCACUGACACUGAGGCACGAAAGCGUGGGGAGCAAACAGG
rnacentral:rRNA from 1 species